rnacentral:tRNA from 1 species
GCCGACUUAGCUCAUCGGGUAGAGCGCCGAACUUGUAAUUCGGAGGCGGCGGGAUCGUGGCCCGCAGUCGGCUCCG